rnacentral:tRNA from 1 species
UUAAAAGAAUCUAAAGUUUAAGUAUACCACUGUUAAUGGUAAUUAGAGAAUCCCAUCUUCUCCUUUUAAA